rnacentral:rRNA from 1 species
CACGUAGGGGGCAAGCGUUGUCCGGAUUUAUUGGGCGUCAAGAGCUCGUAGGCGGCCAACUAAGUCAGACGUGAAAUCCCCAGGCUCAACCUGGGAACUGCGUCUGAUACUGGAUGGCUUGAAUCCGGGAGAGGGAUGCAGAAUUCCAGGUGUAGCGGUGAAAUGCGUAGAUAUCUGGAGGAAUACCGGUGGCGAAGGCGGCAUCCUGGACCGGCAUUGACGCUGAGGAGCGAAAGCCAGGGGAGCAAACGGG